rnacentral:rRNA from 1 species
GAUCCUGGCUCAGGACGAACGCUGGCGGCGUGCUUAACACAUGCAAGUCGAACGAGAAUCUGUGGAAAGAGGAUUCGUCCAAUUGAAGCAGAGGACAGUGGCGGACGGGUGAGUAACGCGUGAGGAACCUGCCGUUUCAGAGGGGGACAACAGUUGGAAACGACUGCUAAUACCGCAUGACAUAUAGAUGUCGCAUGGGCAUUUUAUAUCAAAGAUUUAU